rnacentral:sRNA from 1 species
CCCACCUGAUUUAUUUCUUCUGAGGAGUUGAUAAUCCAUGCUUUACUUUUGAGGUGUGUAGUGAUAGAACUUAUGGCCUUGUUUAUGCCAUUACGUAAGUCCAUAACAUUGACCCCUGCUGCCACAGCCUUGCAGCCUUCCGUAAGAAUAGCCUGUGUAAGUACAGUUGCACAACUCGGUCCUUACCAUCUCCUGCGACCUUAUUAGUAGCUUCAGCAACUUGCUUCACCAGGUUUGCACCAACAUUCUUAGCACUGUCCUCAAACUCAAUGCUUUUUGCAACCGUGACUCCAUCCUUUGUGACUUUGGGAGCUCUAUGGGAUCUCUCGAUAAUCACAUUGCGCCCCU